rfam:Streptomyces acidiscabies strain NCPPB 4445 genomic scaffold scf_64481_19.1, whole genome shotgun sequence.
AGGGCAGGGGGGUCUUCGCCUGCGGGUGGAGCCUGUCCGGCAAGGUUGCGCAUGAUGCGUGUCAGGCGCGACCGAGUGGUAGUCGCUCGGGGGUGAUCGCCG